UUGAAAGGGAAACGAUUGAAGUCAGUCGUACCAGCGGGAAAUCAACCUUUCGAGUGGGGUUUUGGAGUUUUGAAGAGUGUCAAAACCUUCGAGAUCUCAAAAUGUUCGCUCUUUUGGUGUACUUUCUCGCAGGUAGGUUAACAUCGAUUCUGAUCAUCAUAAAAGGAUUGGAGGAAUGUAGCUUCGAUCUCGUAUUGAAGUGUUAUAGCCUUUGGUAAAUGUGAUGAUUGGGAUCGAGGAUUGCAACGAAUACCCUUUUGGGCUAUCCGCCUGAUCUCUGAUACGUGGCCUUGGUAUUGAAGGCGUGCUUAUGGUAUCAAGGUAUUACGGUCAAAAGGUUAGAACGGAUUACAUUCGUUAAGGAUGUUGACGUA
rnacentral:rRNA from 1 species